GGGCUUGACUGGAUUUGACGGCAAGAUGAAAUGGUACGUAAGCAUGCGGAGUGACGACUGUGUUCUCCAUAAUCAAUUCGGUCGAAAAUUAAUUGGCAACAAUGAGUAUGCUCUCGCUGCUUGAUUGAAGUAUAGUAGAUCGUUAGCUUAAUUCCGUCACAAGGUGACAGAACGAGACGUCGCUCCGAGGAUGUUGUUCCGAAUCCAAAGAACAAGCGGCGCAGGUAAAAUCGGGAAUAGCCCUGUUGGGCCUCGACGGCGGGGUGAGAUUCAGAGGAUAAGGGUGCAGUUGGUGGCUCAGGUCUUGCUGCAUCACGAAAACGAAGGCUGAGAUAAGCAUGUAGAAAGCGUAUGGUUUCCUUGUGCGGACGAGGGUUCGACUCCCUCCAGGUCCACU
rnacentral:tmRNA from 1 species